rnacentral:lncRNA from 1 species
CAUUCUCUCUCUCAUCAAAGAUCUAGUUCUAUUAGCUUUUGAUGUGUAAAAAAUUUUGUGCUCUCCAAAAUAAUUAUACAGUGAUCUACGAACGUAGGACAUUAUCAAAUCCUAAAAGUAAACUAAAGUCUGUUCUUCAAAUUAUUAAAUCAAAAUAAGAUAUACACUCCCAGUGGUUAUUAGCCAGUCUACAAGAGGGUCCAUUCCUGACACGUUUCCCAACC